UCAAUACACACACCAUCAACAUUACCUUUAUUCAACAUGCUGCCACUGCAGCAUUGGGGGUUUUCUCUGAUGUUUCUCUCCAUCCUCACAGGAGUCAGCUGUGAAGAACUCACUCCAGUAGAGAAAGAAGAGAACAGUUUAGAAGACAGCUCUGUUACUCUGUCCUACAGAUACUCCAGACAAGCUGCUGGUAGUGAUCAGUUUUACAGGUAUCGACAAUAUCCAGGAAAACCUCCAGAGUUCAUCAUCUCUCAUUUAGGAACAGGAGGAAUGCUGACAAGUCCAAUCCCUGGACUGUCUUCUUCAGUGAGUGAGGAUAAAACCAAAAUGGAUCUGAAGAUCUCCUCAGCUAAGCUGUCUGACUCUGCUGUGUACUACUGUGCUCUGCAGCCCACAGUGACAGGAAAC